GGAAGGUCGCGGCGAUUGGUCGCCAUCCGGUCUUGAAAACCGGCGCCGAGGCUCUGUCUCGCGGGUUCGAUUCCUGGACCUUCCU
rnacentral:tRNA from 1 species